CUUAUGCAUUAAAGGUGAGAUAAUGUUAGCAAAAGCCCCGAUUGAAAACGUAUAAAAAAGGGGGAUAACUCUCUUUUUUUUUCUAUUUCCGGGGUAAAUAAAGUUAGCAAACGUCUCGGAUCGAAAACGUAUAAAAGGGGGAUAACUCUCUUUUUUUCUAUUUCCGGGGGAAAUAAAGUUAGCUACCGCCCCCAGAUUGAAAACGUAUAAAAGGGGGGGGGGGGGUAACUCGCUUUUUUCAAAGAUUUCAAGCGCGAGUCUAUUUCCGGGGAUAAAUAAUUAAAAAAAAAAAAAUAUAUAGUUUCAGGGCCUAACCAUAUGUAACAGAGUCGUUUAAUUAUUAUGACCGGAAUAAUUCUAAAUGGACAGAUAUAUGUAUUACGGUAUAGCCAUGCCCCAUAUUUAUAACACAUACCUAUUUUGAAAUAAAUUAUAAUCUAAUGGAGACAACGCGGUUAACAAAAAAAAAUUAAUAUAUUUCAGAAAAAAUACUAUUACCUCAAAAAGAGAUUAAUAAAAUUUAUAAUAAUUUUCCCACCCUAGCAGCUUGGUUUUGUUUACGAUACGGUUAAGAGCACGAAUAAUAUAUCCAAUGACCGGAUUAUUAGUCCCCAAAUGUUUUCAUAGCAUCUAGACUAAUAUUUUUGGAAUAUUUUUUGGCAUGAUAUCGAAAACAAAAAAAAAAAAUCUUACAUAAUGUAUCUUUAAAGAAUAGGCUUACCAUAAUUUUUUCCGAAUGUGUCCUAUAAUGACGACGUGUAUACUCAAAGACAACGUCUCACGAGUUGGGUGUUGUUGCUACUUCAAAGUCCACGGAGCUCAAUGACGUUAAAACGACUGUCGCAUUUUUGGUCAACAAACCAUGAGAGCCUUCCAUGAUUGGUUAGUAUGGGUCACGUGGUUGUUUAGCGCCAACUUCUGACCAGUGUCUUUGUCUCGUAAAGGGUCGUUAAUCCUUUAGUUCCAGUCGACAGAGUAACUACAAUGUCUGACGGUAAACCCCACGACUGAAAGGUGUUAUAAUUAUGGGGACGCGUAGUGGUGUCACGCUGUCCUUAAGGUAGUCACAUCAAAUAGUGCUGGUUGACUGAUUUAACAUAGUACUCUUUAGAAAUGCCCGCGACAGUCCGAGCAAUCGUUUUUAUAAAACUUUUUAAAAUAGCGGAGACACACCACCAAUUUUUUUUUUAAAACUCACUUUACAGCGUUUGUUCAGUUUUAAUGUAUUUCAUUUUUAAAAAGAAAAUUUUAAAAACAGUUCUCGAACCCUCAAUUUGCAGUUGGUCAUAAAAUUAUGCUAUACCCUUUAAAAACAGCCGUACUUAUGAAAAUUGUCACUUCGACUUGUGGCUGAAAAGAAUACAACACCAAAACAGAAAGACUUGACGAAAAAAAACUAUACAAGAAAAGACAAAUAAUUUAAAAUGUAUGCAAUUGCUGAUGUAAGAAAUUUUAUAUUAUCAACCAUUAGCCUGAUUACGGCGACAUUGGCACCAUAUGCACCGUCCUUAGGCACGCCUGAUGUUGUUAUACAAUUACGGGGUAUUUUGGCAGACGCAGACGCUUUGUUGUCGACCCACAACCCGUUCAUCCCAACUAGACCAGCCACGCCUAGCCAGGAAAAAGAAACAUUGUUAGCAUACACUGACUACAUAUUGGCACGUUUGAGGUUGGUGGCCGACACAAAUCCGGGGUUCAAGAAGCCAAUGGAUAUUUUAGAGACUUACAGGGAAUUGGCCGACUGGAACUCACCGGCACUUUAAAAUGUAAAUCAAAAAUAAAAAAAAAAUAUUGAAAAAAAAAAAACAAAACAUUGUUAGCUUCUUGCUU